UUGAAUAAGCUUGGUUGGGUUGUUGCUGGCUCUCCGGAGCAUGUGCACGCCUGACAACCAACUUUUUUACCACCUGUGCACCUUUUGUAGACCUGGAUAUCUCUCGAGGAAACUCGGUUUUGAGGAUUGCCGUGCGCAAGCCGGCUUUCCUUGCACUUCCGGUCUAUGUUUUUAUAUACCCCUACACAUGUUUUAGAAUGUCAUUAAUGGGCUUAAAUGCCUUUAAAAUCUAUA
rnacentral:misc_RNA from 1 species